rnacentral:tRNA from 1 species
GGCUCGUUGGUCUAGGGGUAUGAUUCUCGCUUUGGGUGCUGGAGAUCCUGGGUUCAAAUCCCGGACGAGCCC